rnacentral:rRNA from 1 species
CAGGUUAUGCUGGGGACUCUAAACAGACUGCCUGCGCAAGCAGUGAGGAAGGCGGGGACGACGUCAGGUCAUCAUGGCCCUUACGCCUAGGGCUACACACGUGCUACAAUGGGCGGUACAGAGGGUCGCUACCUGGUGACAGGAUGCCAAUCUCAAAAAACCGGUCUCAAGUUCGGAUCGAAGUCUGCAACUCGACUUCGUGAAGCUKGAAUCACUAGUAAUCGCGUAUCAGCAAUGACGCGGUGAAUACGUUCCCGGGCCUU